ensembl:lncRNA
GAUCUAUUUGUCCUCUCUCCAACAGGAAGGAAGAGAAAGACAAAGGAAGAACAGUAAGAACUUAGCAUGACAGAAUACUUUAGCACUGGUUUAAGUUGAAGCAACCAUGUGGAAAUCAGCAGGAAAGCUCGCUUUGUACAGAGAAGGUAUGCUGUAAAGCGGAGAUGGUGAAGGAAUGCUGUAGGAGGAUCAGACUUCUUGAAGGGGGAUUUGGAAGAGCAUCUGCAAGGAGUGCAUUUCCCAAGCUUCUGAAGGGACACAACUCUAGCAGUGCCAACCAGGACGAUUGCUCUGCCUGGGCUGCUGCCACCAACACAACUUCUCCCCUGGUGCCCGUGGGAGCAGCUCUUGGAGGUAACAGCGAUAGGAAGAGAGGUAACGGCCUCAAGUUGCACUGAGGAGGUUCUGGCUGGAUAUCAGGAGUCAUUUCUACUCAGAAUGAUGAGGUAUUGGCACAAGUUGCCCAGGAGGUGGUGGAAUCGCUGUCCCUGGUGAUGUUCAACAACCAUGGAGAUGUGGUACUGCAGGACAUGUUUGGUGGGCACAGAGAGGAUGGGUCAGCAGUUGGACUUGAUGUUCUGUGGUCUUUUCCAGCUUAAAUGAUCUAUAUUUCUGCACUGGAAGGCUUGUCCCAAAAACCCAUCAGGAAACACUGCUCCAGGCCAGGGCUGCCAAGGGGCUGUUAGGGAGCCUGGUCUCACCCUGCCAUACAUUGCUCCUUGUG